CUGUAGAAGCACUAACAAAGUGGAAUUUGCAUGCUAUGUCCCCUUUAAAACACUACAUUCUACAGCAUCAUGCCUAAGGCCUGAAUGACGAGGAGGCUGAUGAUCAUCUCUUUUAAUAAGGAUGGUGACAAUGACUUACUAAAGUACAAACUUUGACACACAUGAUUUCUGUGCAAAAUAUCAGAAGCACAAAAUCCACAAUUUUAGAGCUCUGACCAUGUGCUAAUUACACACGAGCCAUUAACACCUUACAAACAGCUUGAUGAUCAUUUCUCAAUCUCUAUUCAAAUCAAUUGUUCACCUAUCUACCAACUGUGACAUUUUGGAGUUCUUUGUCAGACAGUGAGAUCUUGCUGCUGCUUCCUAAAAAUACCAGACUCUCCUCAAUUAAGGAGAUCUACUUGUCUUUUCUUUUACUUUCCAACAUAUGGAAGGAGGACAUCUUUUCUAAAUUGGGAUGUUGCCUCAGGCGAUAUCCCUGCUGAGUUUUUAAAUUUAAGUUUGGCUAAUUUAUUCCAAAGAGAGCACAAAAGGAGAAUUCAUUAUGAUUGAUAUAGUUCUCUGUUCUGUUACGCUGAAGCGAGCAAAGAUAUUUUUGUGCACGAAGGCCAAAUGAUUUAUGUAAAACACUGUUUCAUCCUUGGCGAAUGCAGUGUCUUUAAGAAAAGGAAAAAGGUUCAAGUUUUUAUUCUACUUCAUAUCAGAACAAUAAACUGAAUUAGAGUAGCACAAUCUCAUUGAACACCUGUUCUUGUGCAGUUCACCAGUGAUGCCAGUGUGAUCCAGCUGGAUGAUCAGAGGGACUUCAGAGGAGACAAGUUGACCCUUAGAGCUGAAGAAGCCUUUUGGAGGAGAGGUGAAACUUCUUCAAGAAACACAAGAAGUUCUAGCUGCCAAUGUAAACAUGUGCAACUCCUGAAGAUACCAUGACCUGGAUGACUGAGAAUCUUCACAUAUACAUUGAUUUUGAGUUUAUAUAUAAUACAAUCUGUUAAGAUUGUGAGCUACCUGAUGAGAGUAUAGCCUAGAAUUUAAAAGUAGCAAGCCGGGUAGAGUUUAGUUUGUCUCCCUCAAAAGAAAGUGAUGUUAAAGAAAGUAUAUCGAGUGAAACUGAAAGAAAAAUGAUAUUUCCAUCAGUUGGCAGCCGAAUCUACUAAAUCUUCUGUUGUUCAUGUCCGUGACAUGAUUAGUGGGUAUGUUUACCAUAUUCACCAUGUGUUCCAAUGCUAGCACACAAGCACUUGCUAAUUAGCACUAUACACAAAGUACAGCUGAGAAGAUUGUCAUUAAUUUAGCAAGUAUUUUGUCAUAAGCUAAAUACUGAAUAAAGUUGAUCUGUUGAUGGCCGAUA